UCUUCGCCAAUGGCUGAUGCCACUAUCUGGAGUUUCAGGGGCCGGAUCACCAUCCAUUGAUGUCUUUCUUCGACGCGGAACGCCAGAAAAAAUCUUCUAUAUUCCGAUUUGACAGAAGACUUCGGGAUAACGUGGAAAUCAAGAAACUAGUUGCUGCGACAUGGCAUGCCCAUUCUGAAACGACAGUACACCACCGUCUCUCGUAUUGCAGGAAAGCCAUUGUAUCAUGGAGUAGAGAGCAAGCAAGGAACAGUAAAAUCAAGAUUGAGCGCGAGAAUAUGACCAAUCCGAAUAGGUGUGAGAAUUAGAUAUUGAGACUGAAUGGCGAGCUUUUAGCGGCCUACAGAGCAGAAGAAUAAUUUUGGCGCCAACGAAGUCGUCUCAUGUGGCUUGUAGCACCAGAUUCUUUCAUGCGAUAGCUAAAUGAAGAGGGGCUCGAAACAGAAUUUUGGUGUUAGAAGAUGCUUCAGGGAAGGUUCUGUUCGAGGAGGGACACAUAGCCACAGAGAUAGCUUCUUACUUCCAGAGCAUCUUCUCAUCGAACACUUCUGGCUCAGACGAUGCUGCAGUAGACGCAACUAUAGCUCGGGCGCUCAAACCGCGAGUUAGUAAGGAGGUGAAUGAUCGCUUAAUGGAACCUCCGACUUUAGCUGAGAUCAAGAAGGCCAUGUUCGCAAUUCAUCCGGACAAAGCGCCGAGACCAUAUGGUUUCUCGGCCUGCUUUUCCAAGCUAAUUUAAUGGUGGUAGCGCAUGCCAAUUCCAAAGAUGUCACAGAGUUUUUGGAACCAGAGUGCUUCCACUGAAUACUAAUGACACACACAUCCGCUUGAUUCCAAAACGACUAGUCCAAAACUUGUCUCAGACUAUCGCCCUAUCACGUUCUGCAAUGUGACGUACAAGAUCAUCUCCAAGCUAUUGUCGCUGAGACUGAAACCAGUACUACAGAUGCUGAUCUCCGAGAAUCAUUAAGCUUUUGUCCCGGGCAGAGCCAUCUCCGAUAAUGUCUUGAUCACACAUGAAUUAUUACACUUCUUGAAGCACCCGGGAGCUGUUAAAAUCUGUACCAUUGUGGUAAAGACGGACAUGAGUAAAGCUUAUGACCAUCUAGAAUGGUCCUUUAUUCGAAAAGUACUUCUUCGAUUGGGUUUCGCCACAGCCAAGACAAAACUGUCAUUCGAUGCUGCAGUACAGUCUCGUGUUCGUUCCUUAUCAAUGAUUCAACUCGUGGUAAGGUAUUUCCACUGAGAGGCAUCAGACAAGGAGAUCCUCUAUCGCCAUAUAUCAUCAUCCUCUGCAGCGAGGUCCUUUUGGUUCUCUGUGUAGAAGCUAAUCACAGUGGACAUCUCGCCGGAAUCUGCACUGCUCGAAGAGCGCUUCGAAUCAACCAUUUUCUGUUUGCUGAUGACACCAUGUUCUUCUUCAAGACGGAUGAGGAAAGCUGUGACACACUCACGCACAUUCUCUGAAUUUAUGAGCAAGCUUCGGGGCAGAUGAUAAAUGUCAACAAAUCUUCCAUCACCUUUUCGACUAAACCGCCUCAGGAGACACAUUCUUGUGCCAAAUCUUGCCUUAGGAUUGUCAAAGAAGGCGGUGUUGGAAAGUAUCUCAGACUUUCAGAACAUUUUGGCCGGAGGAAGAAAGAUCUUUUCACCUCCAUUGUUGAUCGGAUCCAAGUCAAAGCCAAUAGUUGGUCGUCGCGGAUGCUUUCCCCUGCAAGUAAGCUGGUGAUGCUUAAGCAUGUCUUAUCUGCUAUUCCUACUCAUGCUAGCAUCUGCUUCGAACUCCCGAUGAGCCUAUGUAAGCGAAUCCAAUCGGCACUCACUAGAUUCUGGUGGGACUUAGCGGAUAAGAAGAAAAUUUGUUGGAUAGCUUGGAGCAAAAUUACAUUGCCAAAAAUCAUGGGAGACCUUGGUAUUAGAGAUAUUCAGCUCUUUAAUAUAGCUUUACUGGCCAAGCAAGCCUGGCGGUUAGUCUCAGCGCCUGACUGUCUACCUCUCGGAUUCUAUUGGGUAAGUGUUGCCAAAACAAAAGUUUUCUCGACCUACCUCCUACUCCGUCAUCGUCUCACGGGUGGAGAAGUGUCUUUUUGGGACGCGACCUUCUGGUAACCAACCUAGGAAAAGUUAUUGGAGAUGGAAACUCAACCAGAGUGUGGCAGGAUCGCUGGAUUAAAUGGAAGUAUUGGACGUCCAUUUGGACCACCGAUUGAGAUGGAUCAAGAUCUUAUGGUUACUGACUUAUUAAGAAGAGGUUCCAACGAGUGGAAUGUUCCUAAAGUUAAAUCCUUGUUCCCACUCAUCUCGAAGGAAAUUCUCAGCAUCUCCCCGAGCACAUUAGGAGCUAAUGAUGCCUUCGGCUGGACACCUACCAAGGAUGGAUUCUAUUCAACCAAGCCAGGGUAUUUCGUAGCGAUGAAGAACACAGCAGCUCUCAAUAAUUAAACGGAUUCAUCACUCGAGUUGGAAUGGACGAAAAAAGGUCUGGGGAUCACCCUGCCUCCCAAACAUUAAACUCUUUAUGUGGAAAUUGGUUAAAGGUGCUUUAGCACUAGGAGCUAACUUGGAAAAAUGAGGUUGUGGGCCUGUUCUCUGCCCGAGAUGGGAGAAAAAGAAACUGCUGAGCACCUCAUACUUCAUUGGUUUGCUAGAGAAGUCUGGAUGGAAGCUCCAUUUCAUCGUAUGAUUGCGUUCGACCAGUUCAAAUCAUUAAAGGAAGCUAUGGCUGCCAGAAUUAAACUGAAUUGUCUCCCUCCAACCGGAGUAACGUCACAUGUUUUUCUAUGGAUCUGCUGGAGCCUAUGGACAGCGAGAAGUAAGCUAAUCUUCGAGAACAAGGCUCUUACACCUUCUGAAGUUAUCCACACUGCCAUUAGUAGUGCUAGGGAAUGGAAUCUGGCACAAACCACGCUAACAAGCACAACUACAAGCACAGAUUCAUACACUCGCUCUGCAGUACCCGCCCACAUCGAGAGCCAUGAUUGUGUCUCAAUCUUUACUGAUGCAGCUUGGCGUCCUACCAACGGAGUUACAGGUUGUGGAUGGAUUCUCAAGGACCCGAUAUGGACCGCAACUCAGCAUGGUUCUAGAUGCUUCGAUUACAUCCCAUCGGCCCUGGUAGGGGAAAGUUUAGCAGUUCGUUUGGCCCUCUCCCACGCAUUGUCUUAUAGUUUCUCCAAAGUCUGUGUGUUCUCAGAUUGUCAGGUGCUCAUCAGAGAACUUUCUUCGAAGUCACAACCGGUAGAACUCUACGGAAUCGCCUGUGACAUCGAUAUCCUAUCCUCCUUGUUUGAAUCUUUCUCUUUGUCUUUUAUUUUUAGAUCCUUGAACUCUAAGGCGGACCUUCUCGCUAAGGCUGCUAUUUGAAAUGUUGCUUUCUCCACAUGAUGAUUUUCUUGUGCUGUUUAAGUUAAUCUAAGUGUUUGGUGUUCAAAUAAAAAAUCAAAAUAUAGAGGAAUACUAUUCUUCUUCUAUAAAUAGAAGAAAAAUAUUAAUUUUUAUUUGAGAAAAAAAUAGAAAUGAGUUAGAGUGAUUUCAACUCUAAAUCUAAUACUAUAAAGAAAAGCGUGACUCUCUUCUCCUUCAUCCACGUAAGUAAAUAGAUUAUUGAGAGCUUGACACGUGUCUAUCUCUCUAAUGGACUUCAGUAUUAUUUUGGUUUGUCAUGUUAAAGGGUUCGAACGUUUGGGCUAUGAAAAAUUCACAGACAAGGUCACGACGUUCUCUUUCUUCGAUGAUGUCGACUUUAGAUUAGGAUGUCCUUUAGAUUAGGGCUCUUCGUUUUCUCAAGCACGAAAAGGGGCAACAAUGGGGAUUCUGGAAUCUAUGUGUCGAUCUACGUUCCUGGCGUUUCGUCUGUGGUUCAUCUUCCCCAUUCAUCACAAGAUGAAUCUCGAUCCAUCAUUCAAUGCUCCUUAUCUCUCAUUCCAGGCGGUGGAAUUCAAUCUAUAAAAAGUAUUAUACGUAACUCAUUUGUCAUACUCUCUGAUUUGAAAGCGGAUCGUUGUUCUUCCACCUUGGAUGUCCGACUUUUCAGGCUUAUGGGUUUCAUGGCCGAGAGUUUCAGUCCUUAACAAAAGAAGCUUUCAUCAUCAUCCUAGAUUCUUAUUAAUGUCAAUCAGUAAGUAAACUUUUCCUUUUCCGUUCUUCCCGUCCACAUGGAAUUUACAUUCUACAUUUUUAAAAUUUUGCAUCUGUGUUUGACGAUUGAAAAUCAGAAUCCGAUUUCAAUCUAUGGAUCUGAAAUCAAGCGCUGGCGAUUGAAAAAUGUUGUAUGGUAAAACUCCAGAUUAUUUUAUGUAUAGAAGAUAAUGCUCCCACGUUCUUUAUGGACGUGUGUCAAAUUCGCAAUUCUUCAGCAUACCAAUAAGCCGAGAAAGAAGCCUUGGGAAGGAUCCAAAGAAAACAGGUUACGUAAGAAUCAGUGGUAUCAGCUUCUAAAUCUUUUCGCUCUCUUAUUUAUAUUAUGGGAUUAUAUUGACACACAGAAACAAAAAAAGAGUCGAUAGGCAGAGGAAAGAAAAACGGAACAGAGCUGAGGAUUUUACAUAGAUCCACUUCUUGCUCUGUUCUUCUUAUUCUUCUCUUGGUCUGUUCACAAAUUUAAAAAUGAUUGGCUUAUCUUCGUAAUGGGGGUUGAAGAAUAUUCACAGGCCACAGCUUUGAUAAGAAAUGAUCCAAGUUUUUAUUUUAUUCAAGAUUUAUGGUCUUUCACGUUUACCAAAAAAAUUUAAGAAUCUACAACCAAUUAAGUUUCUUCAUCUCUUUUAUUAAGAUCUUGAAGAUAUACAUAGAUGAACAUCCCAUUUUUAUUAAUGUUGAUACACUCUCUUAUGUGUACAUAAGCUCUAACAGAUGACUUCUCCGAAACAUUUUUUUUAAAAGGGUAAAAGAUUCAAUCUCUUGCUUUUUAUUUAUGAUUUAGACAAGAUCGUAUAUAUAUUUGGUGUGAUAGUCUUAUCGUUGUUCUUUAUAUUGUUUCAACAUAAUCCUCAUAAAUAUUUUUAUUUCUUUGAACUAUUAGCUGGUGUAUGUAGUAAAAACCCUCCCAAAAGCAAAACAAGUGGUUGAGUUCACGGAUAAAAUUCAGCAUCAAGCUUCAUCAAAUUUGGCAGACCUGGAAAAUGCCGGUCUAAACUAAAGGGUAAAGUCUCAUAAAAAAGAUCGAACGGGUUAGUAAAGAAUACACAUGUAUAUUAUAAUAAGCAAAAGGGUCUGUUAACUAUAAUUCGUUUGGGUUUAUAAAUAAACAAAAAAAGUUUCAAAAUC